UGAGUGGUUUUGUUUGGCAUGGAGACACGCACGUGAACUCAGUUUCUUCCCUUCACUUCCCCAAACAAUACCAAGGAGAAAAUGACUUCUUCCGCUAUAAUAGUACAGCGGGAGUCUCCCCAAACAGAGUUAAUUCGUAAAGAGCAUGGGACAUAGCUUGUCUUCUGGCCUUAGGGUUUGGGGUCCGUCUUGGGUCUCUCUCAUCUAUAUUAGCUGCAGAAUCAUAGGCAUGGGCUGAGACAUGUUUCCCCGUCCCCUUAAUUACGCAAUAAUAGACUCUCUCUCUCUCUCUCUCUGUGCAACGCCAUGGCGCCAUUCUAUAUAUACUUGGUUUUCUACCCAUUUUUUCGUCGACCCAAAAGAAAAGGAAGUUUUUAUAUUUUGGCUAUAUAAAUAAUGAGAUCUUCCCGCAUCGUUUUCUUAUCAUGUCUACUUUCAACCGCUUUCUACUUCUUUUCCCCAACUCUAAUUACUAGCUCAUCUUCCUUUAUUGAGCUCCCUGCAGGCCGUCCGUCCGUGAGGAAACUGAGCAUGUUAAGUCCCUACGACAAGCAUAAAUAUCACAAGGUAAAGAUUGGUGAAGAUCAGAUGAAAGGAUCAAGUACCGUCGCAGAAGGCUCAAUGGCCCUCAAACGUACAAGAAGCGGCCAGUACAACUUAGAUCGUGAGCUUGUCUACCACAUUGAUUAUCAUGGGGUGACAACACAUCCGACCCCAACUCCGAGGCACCCUAAACCUUAGGACAGUUUAGGAGUGCUAAUUAUAAUUCGUUUUUAUAUAUGAGGAGGAAUAUGCAUGGAAUACUACUUUGUAUUAGUAUGUUUGAAUAGAUGCAUGAGAAGAUCAGGUCCUGAGACAUAUAUAUAAACAUAUAUAUAUAUAUAUAUAUAUUGUUUUCUUUA